UCCUUUCUCUGCUAGGCCGACGGCCUCCCAAGACCUCCGUCGCGCCACCAACGUGGUCGGCGACCGGUGCCGAAAAGUGGUCCCGUUAGCCCCUGUUUCACGGUAUCCUUGAAAGCCAAAGCUCUCUCAACCCACGGGAGUUGAAAACAAAGGAGGUUCACGACCGCUUGGACCCGAUUCGGGCGACGGAGGAGAGAUCCUCCGACGGCGCAACCACGGCCACCAGGUGUCAGACGAGGCCGACGGCUAUGGUCAGAAGCGUGCAUGAGUGAGCCUGGUAGCAUGCGGCGCUUGAAGGCUUGGGGGCAAGCAGCAGCUAGGGUUUUCUGUUGCUGAAAUUUUUUAAUUUCCUGGGCUAGGGUUUAGGUUUGUUGGGUAAUGGGCCAUUGUUUUAUUUUUUCUACUGGGCCGGCAAAUUUGGGCUUCUACAAUAUGUACAUGAUGUUAACGUAACAAUGUGAAUAUAUAAAUUCGUAAAA